rnacentral:rRNA from 1 species
ACGGGUGAGUAACGCGUGGGUAACGUACCCUAGGGCUGGGGAUAACUCACCGAAAGGUGAGCUAAUACCGAAUACGUUCUUUCGAAGUGAGCUUUGAAAGAAGAAAGCGGGGCAACCCGCACCCGAAGAUCGGCCCGCGUUCCAUCAGUUUGUUGGUGGGGUAAUGGCCUACCAAGACUACGACGGAUAGCUGGUCUGAGAGGAUGCUCAGCCACACUGGGACUGAGACACGGCCCAGACUCCUACGGGAGGCAGCAGUGGGGAAUAUUGGUCAAUGGGCGAAAGCCUGAACCAGCAAUGCCGCGUGAGUGAUGAAGGCCUUCGGGUUGUAAAGCUCUGUCAGUGGGAACGAAUAAGUCGAUUAAUACCCGAUGAUGACGGUACCCACAAAGGAAGCACCGGCUAACUCUGUGCCAGCAGCCGCGGUAAUACAGAGGGUGCAAGCGUUGUUCGGAAUUACUGGGCGUAAAGCGCGUGUAGGCGGUCUGGCAAGUCGGUCGUGAAAUCCCUUGGCUCAACCAAGGAACUGCGAUCGAAACUACUGGACUAGAGUAUCGGAGGGGGUGGCGGAAUUCCCGG